rnacentral:rRNA from 1 species
AUUGAACGCUGGCGGCAGGCCUAACACAUGCAAGUCGAACGAGUGGCGGACGGGUGAGUAAUGUCUGGGAACCUGCCCGAUGGAGGGGGAUAACUACUGGAAACGGUAGCUAAUACCGCAUACCAUCGGAUGUGCCCAGGUGGGAUUAGCUAGGUGGUGGGGUAACGGCUCACCUGGGCGACGAUCCCUAGCUGGUCUGAGAGGGUGACCAGCCACACUGGAACUGAGACACGGUCCAGACUCCUACGGGAGGCAGCAGUGGGGAAUAUUGCACAAUGGGCGAAAGCCUGAUGCAGCCAUGCCGCGUGUAUGAAGAAGGCCUUCGGGUUGUAAAGUACUGUCAGCGGGGAGGCGUUACCCGCAGAAGAAGCACCGGCUAACUCCGUGCCAGCAGCCGCGGUAAUUC